CCUACGGGGGGCAGCAGUGAGGAAUAUUGGUCAAUGGGCGAAAGCCUGAACCAGCCAAGUCGCGUGCAGGAUGACGGAUCUAUGGUUUGUAAACUUCUUUUAUAUGGGAGUAAAGUGAGGAACGUGUUCCUUUCUGUAUGUACCAUAUGAAUAAGCAUCGGCUAACUCCGUGCCAGCAGCCGCGGUAAUACGGAGGAUGCGAGCGUUAUCCGGAUUUAUUGGGUUUAAAGGGUGCGUAGGUGGUUAGAUAAGUCAGCGGUGAAAGUUUGUGGCUCAACCAGAAAAUUGCCUUUGAAACUGGUUGACUUGAGAAUAUAUGAGGUAGGCGGAAUGCGUGGUGUAGCGGUGAAAUGCAUAGAGAUCACGCAGAACACCGAUUGCGAAGGCAGCUUACUAAACUAUAACUGACACUGAGGCACGAAAGCGUGGGGAGCAAACAGGAUUAGAUACCCUGGUAGUC
rnacentral:rRNA from 1 species